rnacentral:lncRNA from 1 species
AUGAAACACUAUCGUCAGAAAACAAAAAACGAAGUAAACAUAGCCACUGAAAAAUAUAUGGAUAAAGAAUGUAACUUAGAACCAGUUGAUUUACUUAAUAACAAUAAUAAAAAAAGAAAAGUAGUAAUGUUCCAAGAGCAGAAAACAGUGAAAGUAUUUGAAGUAGAUAGAUGUAGAAGAAUUAGUCCUAAGAAAGUCCGUGUACCUAACAAAUUGCUCAAUAUUUGUAGUUAUACAAAUGAACAAAAACAAAAAGAAAGAGAGGAAAAAAAUAAUUAUCCUAAUAAUAAUAAUAUUAAUAAUAAUGGAAGUAACAAUGUAUUUAAUAAAACGCCAUUAGAUAAUCUAAAAGAUGGAACAUAUAUGAUCGAAAAUGAACCAUCACAAAAUCAUAAUAAAUCACAUAAGAGGGAUAAACCAAAUAAACAUAGGAAAUUAAAUAAACGUGAUGAAAUAAAUAAAAAAAAAGGAAUAGAAAAAAAGGAAGGUAUAGAUAAAAAGGAGAAUAUGUUUAUUGAUGAAAAUAAGAAUAAAAACAAUUUUUUUGAUUAUGAAAAAUAUCGAAAUAAUAAUAAUAAUGUGACAUUUUCAACGAAAUAUAAAGAUAGUUGUAUUACUUUGAGCCCUGACAAACUUACUUGUUAUGGUGAUAAAGGUUGGUCGAGUGUUUUUGUAAAUAGUGGUGCUGAUAUUGGUAAAUGGUAUUUUGAAGUAAAAUUCGAAGGCCCUAUAAAUAAAUUACAAUUUGUAGGGUAUAAAGAAAAUUCUAUAGAAAUAAAACCACACAUAAGAGUUGGAUUUGCUUGUAGAUAUAUGAGAUAUGAUACCCCAAUAGGAACAGAUAAAUACAGUUUUUGUGUUAAUAGUAAAAAUGGAAAUAUGUUUAAUAAAGCUAAAGGUUAUGCUUGUAUGGAACCAUUUAAAAUUAAUGAUGUAAUAGGUUGUUACUUAUAUUUAAAAAAUAAAAAUACUUAUAACUUUGAUCCAAGAUUAGAUAAUAAAUUAUAUGAAUUUAUACAAGGUGGUAUUUUAUGUGAUCCUCAAAACCCACCACAAUUAAAGAAAAAUCAAGGAUCUUAUAUUUUUUUUUUCAUUGAAUGGACUAAUAAAACGUAA